rnacentral:rRNA from 1 species
UGAAUUGACGGGUCCCCGCACAAGCAGCGGAGCGUGUGGUUUAAUUCGUUUGCUACACGAAGAACCUUACCUGGGUUUGACAUAGCAGUGGUAGGGAAGAGAAAUCGGACGACCCUUCGGGGAGCUGUUACAGGUGUUGCAUGGCUGUCGUCAGCUCGUGUCGUGAGAUGUUCGGUUAAGUCCGCUAACGAGCGCAACCCGCGUUGUGUGUUAUAUGUGUCACACGGGACUGCCGGUCUUAAGCCGGAGGAGGGUGGGGAUGAUGUCAAGUCAGCAUGGCCUUUAUAUCCUGGGCUACACACACGCUACAAUGGCCAACACAAUAGGUUGCUAAGCCGCGAGGUGGCGCCAAUCCAUAAAGUUGGUCUCAGUUCAGAUUGUAGGCUGCAACCCGCCUGCAUGAAGAUGGAGUUGCUAGUAACCGCAGGUCAGCUAUACUGCGGUGAAUACGUUCCCGGGGCUU